rnacentral:lncRNA from 1 species
UGGUUCCAAAUCCAGUGCUUUGACAUAUGAGUGAUGUUUGAAGAAACUGAAGAUAUUUAACCAGGAGAAAAGAAGACUUGGGGAGAUUGCUAUAAUACUUUAGGAACAGAAUAUUGCAACCCAUCUUUGUGGGUGAAAACUUGAAGCCACUGGAGUGCCUGCAGCUAAUGAAUGCCUAUGAGGUGCUUUUAAAUCCUGGGAUGAAAGGGAAGGCCUCCAACAGCAAAUGCCAAAGACGCUAAGACAACUGGAGGAUCUUGCUAACUCACCCCUCUGGAAGCUCAGUGAACCCCAGAAGACUGCUGAGUCGUGAUCGAUAACAGGCACAGGAUGCAUAGACCUUCAAAAGUUGAGUCCUUUAUUGUUGGAAGACUAGUCUGGGCAAAACUCUAU